CCUGAGUACGACGGAGCACGUGAAAUUCCGUCGGAAUCUGGGAGGACCAUCUCCUAAGGCUAAAUACUCUCUAGUGACCGAUAGUGAACCAGUACCGUGAGGGAAAGGUGAAAAGUACCCCGGAAGGGGAGUGAAAGAGAACUUGAAACCGUGUGCUUACAAGUAGUCAGAGCCCGUUAAUGGGUGAUGGCGUGCCUUUUGUAGAAUGAACCGGCGAGUUACGAUCUGAUGCAAGGUUAAGCAGAAAAUGUGGAGCCGUAGCGAAAGCGAGUCUGAAUAGGGCGAAUGAGUAUUUGGUCGUAGACCCGAAACCAGGUGAUCUACCCUUGGUCAGGUUGAAGUUCAGGUAACACUGAAUGGAGGACCGAACCGACUUACGUUGAAAAGUGAGCGGAUGAACUGAGGGUAGCGGAGAAAUUCCAAUCGAACUUGGAGAUAGCUGGUUCUCUCCGAAAUAGCUUUAGGGCUAGCCUCAAGUGAUGAUUAUUGGAGGUAGAGCACUGUUUGGACGAGGGGCCCCUCUCGGGUUACCGAAUUCAGACAAACUCCGAAUGCCAAAUAAUUUAACUUGGGAGUCAGAAUGUGGGUGAUAAGGUCCAUAUUCGAAAGGGAAACAGCCCAGACCACCAGCUAAGGUCCCAAAAUAUAUGUUAAGUGGAAAAGGAUGUGGCGUUGCCCAGACAACUAGGAUGUUGGCUUAGAAGCAGCCAUCAUUUAAAGAGUGCGUAAUAGCUCACUAGUCGAGUGACACUGCGCCGAAAAUGUACCGGGGCUAAACAUAUUACCGAAGCUGUGGAUUGUCCUUUGGACAAUGGUAGGAGAGCGUUCUAAGGGCGUUGAAGCAUGAUCGCAAGGACAUGUGGAGCGCUUAGAAGUGAGAAUGCCGGUGUGAGUAGCGAAAGACGGGUGAGAAUCCCGUCCACCGAUUGACUAAGGUUUCCAGAGGAAGGCUCGUCCGCUCUGGGUUAGUCGGGUCCUAAGCUGAGGCCGACAGGCGUAGGCGAUGGAUAACAGGUUGAUAUUCCUGUACCACCAUUAUUCGUUUUAAGCGAUGGGGGGACGCAGUAGGAUAGGCGAAGCGUGCUGUUGGAGUGCACGUCCAAGCAGUGAGAUUGAGUGUUAGGCAAAUCCGGCACUCUUAAGAUUGAGCUGUGAUGGGGAGAGGAACUUGUUCCUCGAGUCGUUGAUUUCACACUGCCGAGAAAAGCCUCUAGCUAGAAUAACGGUGCCCGUACCGCAAACCGACACAGGUAGUCAAGAUGAGAAUUCUAAGGUGAGCGAGCGAACUCUCGUUAAGGAACUCGGCAAAAUGACCCCGUAACUUCGGGAGAAGGGGUGCUCUUUGAGGUUCACGCUUCGAAGAGCCGCAGUGAAUAGGCCCAAGCGACUGUUUAUCAAAAACACAGGUCUCUGCUAAACCGUAAGGUGACGUAUAGGGGCUGACGCCUGCCCGGUGCUGGAAGGUUAAGAGGAGUGGUUAGCGCAAGCGAAGCUACGAAUCGAAGCCCCAGUAAACGGCGGCCGUAACUAUAACGGUCCUAAGGUAGCGAAAUUCCUUGUCGGGUAAGUUCCGACCCGCACGAAAGGCGUAACGAUUUGGGCACUGUCUCAACGAGAGACUCGGUGAAAUCAUAGUACCGGUGAAGAUGCCGGUUACCCGCGACAGGACGGAAAGACCCCGUGGAGCUUUACUGUAGCCUGAUAUUGAAAUUCGGUACAGUUUGUACAGGAUAGGUAGGAGCCUUAGAAGCGUGAGCGCUAGCUUACGUGGAGGCAUUGGUGGGAUACUACCCUAAUUGUAUUGGAUUUC
rnacentral:rRNA from 1 species